GCCUUCGUGGUGUAACGGUAGUACAUUGAGCGCGUAUUCUAGAGGUCCAGGUUCGAGUCCUGGCAGAAGCA
rnacentral:tRNA from 1 species